UACGGGGGGAGCAAGCGUUGUUCGGAUUUACUGGGCGUAAAGGGCGCGUAGGCGGUCAGCACAAGUCAGUUGUGAAAUCUCCGGGCUUAACUCGGAAAGGUCAACUGAUACUGUGCGACUAGAGUGCAGAAGGGGCAACUGGAAUUCUCGGUGUAGCGGUGAAAUGCGUAGAUAUCGUGAAGGAAGACCAGUGGCGAAGGCGGGUCUCUGGACAGUUACUGACACUGAGGCAGCGAAGGC
rnacentral:rRNA from 1 species